CCUAGAGCAAACACACACAUGUGGUCACAGGCACAAUCAAAGCUGCCCUUCCUGUACCAUCCCCGCCCGCUUCCCUGGCUGGGUGCGCUCCUGCAGUUCAGGGGCAGGACGGACAACCACGCCUCUGAGGGACAUGGAGGACACACUUUGCCAUCUGGGCUGUUGCCGGUACCUGCAAAUACUUCAAGGUACAAAGCAAGAGAACACAAGGACUGGUACAGACACUUCCUAAUGGUGGCAACGGUCACCUGCGUCCGAAGCUACCACUAAUGGCCAACGUCCAAAGCCACCAUGCUGACUUUUCAUUAUGUGCCAUGACCUUAGGAGAUGAAUGGGCUCUCCAGGAUCACUCUUGUCAGCCCUAGGUGACUGGAAUCCCAGUCUCUGGGUCCCUCCUAACGUUACAGACCCCUUCCAAACGCCAUCUCCACACUUACUCCAUGCCUUCAUUUCACAGAUAAGGGAACAGACAUGGAGUUAAGAUGCUUGGUGCCAAUGCCAACCCAGGCUGCCUGAGGCCAGAGCUGUGCACACUAUCCGGACACACAGCUGUCUCUGUCGGCUCAAGUGGAGACUCCCCCCAGCAGCACCCGGCAGGCCUCACCUCACUGUGGGAAGUUCCAGGCUCAGCUACUCCAAUUGCUCCGUCUGUGGAAGGAACCAUAGAUACGUUAAAGUCCCGCAGUCAGCUGGUUAGCAGAAGAGGUGCGACUGCUCUCACCAACACACCAGCCAUGCCUCGGAGGACUGACGGCUAACAUUACAGGUUUCGUGCAACCCCGAGGGCCUUGAACACUCUGUGUAUCUGAAGACGACCUGGAAUUUGGUGCUUCUGCCUCAUUCACAAGUACUGAUACUACAAGCAUGUGCCCACACUUGGACCCAUUUCUAAAUUAAACCAUAAUCUUUCUUUUAAA